GAUGAACGCUGGCGGCGUGCUUAACACAUGCAAGUCGAACGGAAAGGCCCAAGCUUGCUUGGGUACUCGAGUGGCGAACGGGUGAGUAACACGUGGGUGAUCUGCCCUGCACUUCGGGAUAAGCCUGGGAAACUGGGUCUAAUACCGGAUAGGACCACUUCUUGGAUGUUGUGGUGGAAAGUUUUUUCGGUGUGGGAUGAGCUCGCGGCCUAUCAGCUUGUUGGUGGGGUAAUGGCCUACCAAGGCGUCGACGGGUAGCCGGCCUGAGAGGGUGUACGGCCACAUUGGGACUGAGAGACGGCCCAGACUCCGACGGGAGGCAGCAGUGGGGAAUAUUGCACAAUGGGCGCAAGCCGGAUGCAGCGACGCCGCGUGGGGGAGGACGGCCUUCGGGUUGGAAACUCCUUUCGCUAGGGACGAAGCGUUUUGUGACGGUACCUGGAGAAGAAGCACCGGCUAACUACGUG
rnacentral:rRNA from 1 species